CCAAAGGCUCUUUUAAGAGCCACCCACAUUUUCCUUUAAAAGAGCU
rfam:Acanthisitta chloris contig90662, whole genome shotgun sequence.